rnacentral:rRNA from 1 species
UACGUAUGGGGCAAGCGUUGUUCGGAGUUAUUGGGCGUAAAGGGCGUGUAGGCGGCCCGACAAGUCUGGUGUGAAAUUGCAGGGCUCAACCCUGCAGGUGCGCUGGAAACGGUCGGGCUGGAGUCCCGGGGGGGAAGCUGGAAUUCCUGGUGUAGGAGUGAAAUCUGUAGAGAUCAGGAAGAACACCGGUGGCGAAGGCGAGCUUCUAUUCGAGGACUGACGCUGAGGCGCGAAAGCGUGGGGAG